CUUAAAACCCAAAGGACUUGACGGUGCCCCAUCCGACUAGAGGAGCCUGUUCUAUAAUUGAUAAUCCCCACUUUACCUCACCACUACUAGCCUUUCAGCCUGUAUACCUCCGUCGCAAGCCCACCGCAUGAGCGCCAGACAGUGAGCUCAAUGAACCCCCUUCAACACGUCAGGUCAAGGUGCAGCCCAUGUAGUGGAAAGCAAUUGGCUACAAUUUCUAUCUUAGAAUAAACGAAAAGCUGCAUGAAACUGCUGCUUGAAGGCGGAUUUAGAAGUAAGAAGAAAAUAGAGAGUUCUUCUUAAACUGGACCUGGGUCGCGU
rnacentral:rRNA from 1 species